AGCGGCAAACGGGUGAGUAACACGUGAGUAAUCUGCCCUUAAGUUAAGCAUAACUUCGUGAAAACGGAGAUAAUUCUUGAUAGUAUCCCAUUUUUGCAUGAAGAAGGGAUUAAAGACAGGGACCGUAAGGCCUGUCGCUUAGGGAUGAGCUCGCGUCCUAUCAGCUUGUUGGUGGGGUAAUGGCCUACCAAGGCAUUUGACGGGUAGCUGGUCUGAGAGGAUGGUCAGCCACACUGGGACUGAGACACUGCCCAGACUCCUACGGGAGGCUGCAGUCGAGAAUAUUUAGCAAUGGACGAAAGUCUGACUAUGCGACGCCGCGUGCAGGAUGAAGGUUUUCGGAUCGUAAACUGCUUUUGUUAGGAAAGAAAAUGCUAAACCUAAUAAGUUUAGAACUGACGGUACCUAACGAAUAAGCCACGGCCAACUCCGUGCCAGCAGCCGCGGUAAUACGGAGGUGGCAAGCGUUACUCGGAAUCAUUGGGUGUAAAGGGCAAGUAGGCGGUUUAAUAAGUGAGGGGUGAAAUCUCCCGGCUCAAUCGGGAAACUGCCUUUCAAACUGUUAAACUUGAGGAUGGUAGAGGAAAGCGGAAUUUCCGGUGUAAGGGUGAAAUCUGUGGAUAUCGGGAAGAACAUCAACGGCGAAGGCAGCUUUCUGGGCCAUCUCUGACGCUGAAUUGCGAAAGCUAGGGGAGCAAACAGAAUUAGAUACUCUGGUAGUCCUAGCUGUAAACGAUGAGCACUAGGUGUCGGGUCUUUUUGAUCCGGUGCCGCAGCUAACGCAUUAAGUGCUCCACCUGAGGACUACGAUCGCAAGAUUAAAACUCAAAGGAAUUGACGGGGACCCGCACAAGCGGUGGAACAUGUGGUUUAAUUCGAUGCUACGCGAAAAACCUCACCAAGGCUUGACAUACAGGAAGUAGUGAACCGAAAGGGGAUCGACCUGUCAAAUCAGGAGCCUGAACAGGUGCUGCAUGGCUGUCGUCAGCUCGUGUCGUGAGAUGUUGGGUUAAGUCCCGCAACGAGCGCAACCAUUAUCUUUAGUUGCAACCAUUUUUAACCUUCGGGUUAGGAGUGGGCACUCUAAAGAGACUGCCUGGGUUAACCAGGAGGAAGGUGGAGAUGACGUCAAGUCAGUACGGCCUUUAUGCCUUGGGCUACACACGUGUUACAAUGGUCAGUACAAAGGGUUGCCAACCCGUAAGGGGGAGCUAAUCUCAAAAAACUGACCUCAGUUCGGAUUGAAGUCUGCAAUUCGACUUCAUGAAGCCGGAAUCGCUAGUAAUGGUAGAUCAGCACGCUACCGUGAAUACGUUCCCGGGUCUUGUACACACCGCCCGUCAAGCGAUGGAAGUUGGGGGUACCAGAAGUCCUAUGUAGGUAGGCCGAAGGUAAAACCAAUGACUGGCGCUAAGUCGUAACAAGGUA
rnacentral:rRNA from 1 species